CUGGCCUUAGUUAUUCUUUACAUCCGGGUUCUUUGAAAGCUCAGUUUGGGAAAGUCUGUCAGAAGUACAGGGAUGCCUUUGAAGAAGUUUGGACAACUCCACCUUAGGUGUGUAACUGCCUCUUGCUUUAGCCCUUGAAAAAGGCAUGGAAUCAGGAUCAGCUCUGCCCAUAUGGAAGGGAUUUAUUUUUAUGUGGGUCUUAAGCAGCACCAAGAUCAUUUUGAAAGCAAUCCAGGUCAAAAUGAGAAUAUUAAAGGUAAGAAGAGGAAUGGAGAAACAGCUCAAGGCUUGAAGGUUCUCCUUCCUGAUAACUCUGGAAGAUGAUGAGAUCAAUUUACCUGCUCAUGGAUAACAGUAAUCACCCACACUCUCAUUCCUAAUCAACCACAAAG